GUAGGGAAUAUUGGUCAAUGGGCGAAAGCCUGAACCAGCCAUGCCGCGUGAAGGAUGACUGCCCUCAGGGUUGUAAACUUCUUUUAUAUGGGGAGAAACCCCUGGAUUUACUCCGGGGCUGACGGUACCAUAUGAAUAAGCACCGGCUAACUCCGUGCCAGCAGCCGCGGUAAUACGGAGGGUGCAAGCGUUAUCCGGAUUCACUGGGUUUAAAGGGUGCGUAGGCGGGAUAUUAAGUCAGAGGUGAAAGCCCCGAGCUCAACUUGGGAACUGCCUUUGAUACUGAUAUUCUUGAAUGUAGUUGAGGCAGGCGGAAUACAACAUGUAGCGGUGAAAUGCUUAGAUAUGUUGUAGAACACCAAUUGCGAAGGCAGCUUGCUAAACUAUUAUUGACGCUGAGGCACGAAAGCGUGGGGAGCGAACAGGAUUAGAAACCCCAGUAGUCC
rnacentral:rRNA from 1 species